UACGUAGGGGGCAAGCGUUGUCCGGAUUUAUUGGGCGUAAAGAGCGUGUAGGCGGCUGGGAAGGUCCGCUGUGAAAACUCGAGGCUCAACCUCGAGACGCCGAUGGAAACCCUCCAGCUAGAGUCCGGAAGAGGAGAGUGGAAUUCCUGGUGUAGCGGUGAAAUGCGCAGAUAUCAGGAAGAACACCCGUGGCGAAGGCGGCUCUCUAGUACGGUACUGACGCUGAGACGCGAAAGCGUGGGGAGCGAACAGG
rnacentral:rRNA from 1 species